rnacentral:snRNA from 1 species
GUGAUCGCUUCAGCAGCACAUAUACUAAAACUGGAACGAUACAGAGACGAUUAGCAUGGCCCCUCUGCAAGGAUGACACACAAAUUCAUGAAGCAUUUCUUUCUUUUUUUUUUUC